UACGUAGGGACCAAGCGUUGUUCGGAUUUACUGGGCGUAAAGGGCGCGUAGGCGGCAAUUCAAGUCAUCUGUGAAAUCUCCGGGCUUAACUCGGAACGGUCAGAUGAUACUGCUUUGCUAGAGUGCGGAAGGGGCAAUCGGAAUUCUCGGUGUAGCGGUGAAAUGCGUAGAUAUCGAGAGGAACACCUGAGGUGAAGACGGGUUGCUGGGCCGACACUGACGCUGAGUGCGCGAAAGCCAGGGGAGCGAACGGG
rnacentral:rRNA from 1 species